GUGCUGCUUCUGUAGCACAUAUACUACAAUAGGAAUGAUGCAAUGAAGAUUAGCAUGGCCUCUGCUCAAGGAUGACAAAUUCUACAGCAUUAGGGCAUUUGC